rnacentral:piRNA from 5 species
GCGGCCCGGGUUCGAUUCCCGGUCAGGGAA